GGGAACGCACUGUAAACACAACAGUUGUUAUCUAGAGCUCACUAGUAGCAACUAGCUGCUAUCUGACGUUACCAGGCCUUACUAUUCCUGGACCAUGUAGCUAAGUGGAUGCCGGUUAGAAGCCAAUUACUAGAGAUGGAUGCCUUUUUGGGAUCUCUGCAAGACCAUGACGUGAGCUCUGUCCUCACGUCCUGUGAGCCCGAGCUGCAGGAGCUGAUGAGACAAAUAGACAUCAUGGUGAACCAUAAGAGGACGGAGUGGGAGGCAGAGAUCCAUGCCAUGGAGCUGCGUCUGCACAGCGGA